AGAGGUCGCUGUAGCGCGCAAAUAAAAAAGCUAGGUCUCCAGCAAGAAGUGUUGUGUAUAAUGGAUUUAACCUUCUCUAUUUCCAAGCUAAAAGCUGGUAUGUCUAUAGAACAAUCGGUAUAGAGACGGAAAUUAAUUAUAUUUGUUUAAUUUCGCGAUGGGAAAAACAACUGGCAUUGCCUCGCCCACGUACAUGAGCAACUGACGCGAGAUUUUGUUCGUUUCCAAACGACGAUUGAUGAUCGCAUUACUCAAUUGAGCUAAUUGUUUACAAAAAAUAUAUAUAUAUCAGAUGAUUCUAUAAUUGGUAAACACGUUACCUGAAGCCUGAAAAUUAACGAGAGAUCCGGAUAGAUGCGUAAACAUUUUACCUGAAUCUAUCGAGUGCGUAGAUAGCCGGGAUGGGCAGUAGAGUUACCCUAUCGCGGAUACCUGGGAAAGAUUUCACGCAAUGGUACCGAAGAGUCGUUUUUAAUUAAGGACACAUAUCGAUAAGGAAGAGAGAGUUAUCUUCUCCAAGGUAAGAAUAAUAUAUAAAAUUCUUUCUCGACGCUUCAGCCUUGUAAUUGAUAUUCGAAAAGGCCCAUCUACUUACUUCUUUUCAUAGAAACA